rnacentral:rRNA from 1 species
AUUGAACGCUGGCGGCAGGCCUAACACAUGCAAGUCGAGCGGAGCGGCGGACGGUUGAGUAAUGCCUAGGAAUCUGCCUGGUCGUGGGGGAUAACGUCCGGAAACGGGAGCUCAUACAGAAUACUAUCAGAUGAGCCUCAGUCGGAUUGUCUAGUUGGUGGGUUACCGGCUCACCAAGGCCACGAUGCAUAGCCGACCUGAGAGGGUGAUCGGCCACACUGGGACGGAGGCACGGCCCAGACUCCUACGGGAGGCAGCAGUGGGGAAUGUUGGACAAUGGGGGAAACCCGGAUACAGCCAGCCCGCGUGUGCGAUGAAGGCCUUCGGGUUGUAAAGCACUUUUGGCAGGAAAGCGGUACCUGCAGAAUAAGCACCGGCUAACUACGUGCCAGCAGCCGCGGUAAUAC